GGCCCUAUGGGGCGCAGCAGGCGCGAAACCUUUACAAUGCACGCAAGUGUGAUAAGGGAACCCUAAGUGCUCAUGAAUUUCAUGGGCUUUUGCCAAGAGUAAAUAUCUUGGAGAAUAAGUGGUGGGUAAGACUGGUGCCAGCCGCCGCGGUAACACCAGCGCCACAAGUGGCAACCACGUUUAUUGGGCCUAAAGCGUCCGUAGCCGGUUUGGUAAAUCUCUUGUGAAAUCGUCAGGCUCAACCUGACGGCGUGCAUGAGACACUUCCAGACUCGAGACCGGGAGGAGUCAAAGGUAUUUCAAGGGGAGCGGUAAAAUGUGAUAAUCCUUGGAAGAUCACCUAUGGCGAAGGCAUUUGACCAGAACGGAUCUGACGGUCAGGGACGAAGGCUAGGGGAGCGAUCCGGAUUAGAUACCCGAGUAGUCCUAGCAGUAAACGCUGCGAGCUAGAUGUUGCGCUUCUCACGAGGAUGUGCAGUAUCGAAACGAAGGUGAUAAGCUCGCCGCCUGGGAAGUACGGUCGCAAGACUGAAACUUUAAGGAAUUGGCGGGGGAGCAC
rnacentral:rRNA from 1 species